GAGUGGAGGCAGGUACUGGAAGGUCUUGUGCACCUUUAGUGUUUUUGUCAGUGAAGGCUCGUCCAUAGGUGGUUUGCUGUUCUUGCUGAGGGCUGCUCCUGGGCAGCAGAGCAUCUGCAGGAAGCAGACCUGCACAAUCUAGCUGUUUCGCUUUGCAGUGGAGCCGAGGAGCGCUCUUGUAAUGUUGGAGGAGCAGUCGUACUGAGAUUGGUCAGAUGAGAGAUCGGCCAACCUGUGGCAGAGACCAAAGAAGGAGCAGCCACCCAGAGCCCAUCCCUAGGGAUGGAAGCCGGACAAUGAUCUGCAGAUACCACGGAGAAAGAAAUAAAGGGUAAGAGCCCACCCCCAUUGUGAGAUGGAAAGCACCAAGAGCCGUGAUACCACAAAUGUUGUCGAUGCCAGGCUAUGGCGAUGCCGUCAAUCUGGGAGUGGAGCAGCCGUCACCAUCAGUGAGAUAAGUGUCUGGUUUGGGGAGGACUCCGGUAACGGCCCACCUGCCUCCAGGCUGAGACUUGUCAUUAGCUGGGGCUCGGUUUGUAGGAAAAGAUUCCUGACCUGCUGUGGUUACGAGGGAGGCAAGGUCCCCAUUUUCAGGGGCUGGUCUUUUCUCUGUCCACAAACAGUGUGUCCUAUGCAGCAGAAGGUUGGAUCGAGGAGGAUGACUCCAGCUGUUGAGUUUCUUGACUCCAUCCCAUGUUUUUCUCUCUCUCUC